CGCCUCUCAGACAUACACUCAAUGGCAUUGCAAGUCGUCACCGCGGUACGAAUGCUGUUGAAGAUGAGCCUUACAGAAGCAAACAAGCUGGUUGAUGCAGAAGCACUGCGCGAAAUGAGAGAAGAUGCUUACCAGCAGUCCUGAAGCCAUUGCAAAGGUUGAUUCUCUCUGUGGUUGGAGGGUGAGCUGGUCUGGUCACCGCUGUAUCCCAACAUGUCUCUAGGUAUGCUGGAGAGUGGGGCUACCCAAGUCCUGCCGAGCUGGGUUCGUGCACCCUCCUGGUUACCUUCUGGAACUUUCCAAAGACUUGACUGAUUGGAGAUAUAAAAAAAAGAGCCCAACAUCUCCUGGAUUCACAGAUAAUUACAGCAGAGAAGGAAACCAUUCAGCCAAUCAUAUCUGUGUAUGUCAACAAAGAACUGACUAUUCCAAUCCCACGUCCCAGCUUUUAGCCCAUAGUCCUGGAGGCUACAACAUUGCAAGUGAAAAUCUACAUUCUGCUUCAAUGUUAGGAGUUUUUCUGUCUCAGCAAUCCUUUUAGGCAGUGGGGUUAGGGUUAGGGUUUCCAGAAUCUCACCAACUUUCCGAUUGAAAAAAAAUACAUUUUCCUCAACGUAGUGGUUACCACAGUUGCCUGACUGCGCUGGGGACCCGGAUUCAAUUCCAGCCUGGGGCGCCUGUGUUUGCAGAGUUUGCACGUUCUCUCUGUGUCAGUGUGGGUUUCCUCUGGAUGCUCCGGUUUCCUCCCACAGUCCCAAAGAUGUGCAGGCUAGGGGAAAUGGCCGUGCUAAAUUUCCUGCAGCGUCCGGGGGGGAUGUGUAUUCUAGGUAGGUUUGCCAUGGGAAAUGCAAGGU